UACGUAGGGUCCGAGCGUUGUCCGGAAUUACUGGGCGUAAAGAGCUCGUAGGUGGUUUGUCGCGUUGUUCGUGAAAACUCACAGCUCAACUGUGGGCGUGCGGGCGAUACGGGCAGACUAGAGUACUGCAGGGGAGACUGGAAUUCCUGGCGUAGCGGUGGAAUGCGCAGAUAUCAGGAGGAACACCGGUGGCGAAGGCGGGUCUCUGGGCCGUUACUGACGCUGAGGAGCGAAAGCGUGGGGAGCGAACAGG
rnacentral:rRNA from 1 species